UCCCUGGUGGCUCAGAUGGUAAAGCAUCUGCCCGCAAUGCGGGGAGACCCAGGUUCGAUCCCUGGGUUGGGAA
rnacentral:tRNA from 1 species